rnacentral:lncRNA from 1 species
AAACGUAGUCCAACAACGAAAGAGCCCUGAAGCUCAAGCGGAGCCCGCUGGCCGCAGGGGCCGCACCACGCCCCAGACCCUGGAGUUUCCGGGUGCGCAGACCCUUGCCAUCAGCAGAGGCUGCCGCUGCGCGUCCCCUAGGCGCGGAAGAGGCGGCUGGUGGUCCCUGACGGCAAGGUUUUAUACAUUACGAAUAAAGCUGGCACGUUUCCAUUUCUCCUGGGCAAAUAUUUAGAAGAAAAGUUGCUGGGUAAUUGGUGGAGACAAGGUUUCGCCACAUUGACUGGGCUGGUCUGGAACUCCUGAGCUCAAGCAACCGGCCCUCCUUGACCUCCCAAAGUGCUAGGAUUACAGGUGUGAACCACCGUGCCCGGCCCUACUUUCUAUCGAAGUAGAAUAGAAGCACUGAGACCACAGAGGCAAGAGCUGGGGAAGGAAAACUGCCCAUGAGAUGAGAUGUGCCUCUCAGCUUCCAAAAUCGGGGAGAUGCCCCCCAUGGAAUCCAGCCAUCAUGCUGUGAGGAAUCCAAGCAGCUACAUAGAAAGGCCACAACUAGAUAUUCCAGCUGUAGUCAGCUGAAGCUCCAGCCAACAGCCAACAUCAACCACCACACGUGAAAACGAGCAAGCCUUCAGAUGAUUCCGACUCCCAACCUCCAAGCCACCUCAGCUGAAGCCAAGUAGAGCAGAGACUAGCUGUCCCCCAAUGCUCUAAUAUGCAGAUUCAUAAUUAAAAAGAAUGUUAUUGUUCUAAGCCAUGAAGUUUUGGGGUGGUUUGUCAUGCAGCAACUGGAACUGCC